rnacentral:rRNA from 1 species
AACGAACGCUGGCGGCAUGCCUAACACAUGCAAGUCGAACGAGACCUUCGGGUCUAGUGGCGCACGGGUUCGUAACGCGUGGGAACCUUCCCUUAGGUUCGGAAUAACUCCCCGAAAGGGGUGCUAAUACCGGAUCAUGUCUUCUGACCAAAGAUUUAUCGCCUUUGGAUGGGCCCGCGUUGGAUUAGCUAGUUGGUAGGGUAAAAGCCUACCAAGGCGACGAUCCAUAGCUGGUCUGAGAGGAUGAUCAGCCACACUGGGACUGAGACACGGCCCAGACUCCUCCGGGAGGCAGCAGUGGGGAAUAUUGGAAAAUGGGCGAAAGCAUGAUCCAGCAAUGCCGCGUGAGUGAUGAAGGCCUUAGGGUUGUAAAGCUCUUUUAACCGGGAUGAUAAUGACAGUACCGGGAGAAUAAGCCCCGGCUAACUCCGUG